rnacentral:rRNA from 1 species
GACGAACGCUGGCGGCGUGCUUAACACAUGCAAGUCGAACGGAAAGGCCCUGCUUUUGUGGGGUGCUCGAGUGGCGAACGGGUGAGUAACACGUGAGUAACCUGCCCUUGACUUUGGGAUAACUUCAGGAAACUGGGGCUAAUACCGGAUAGGAGCUCCUGCUGCAUGGUGGGGGUUGGAACGUUUCGGCGGUUGGGGAUGGACUCGCGGCUUAUCAGCUUGUUGGUGGGGUAGUGGCUUACCAAGGCUUUGACGGGUAGCCGGCCUGAGAGGGUGACCGGCCUCAUGGGGACUGAGAGACGGCCCAGACUCCUACGGGAGGCAGCAGUGGGGAAUAUUGCACAAUGGGCGGAAGCCUGAUGCAGCAACGCCGCGUGCGGGAUGACGGCCUUCGGGUUGUAAACCGCUUUCGCCUGUGACGAAGCGUGAGUGACGGUAAUGGGUAAAGAAGCACCGGCUAACUACGUG